UACGGAGGAUGCAAGCGUUAUCCGGAAUGAUUGGGCGUAAAGCGUCCGCAGGUGGCGAUGUAAGUCUGCUGUUAAAGAGUGAGGCUCAACCUCAUAAGAGCAGUGGAAACUACAUAGCUAGAGUGCGGUAGGGGCAGAGGGAAUUCCUGGUGUAGCGGUGAAAUGCGUAGAGAUCAGGAAGAACACCGGUGGCGAAGGCAGCACUCUGGGACGUGACUGACGCUGAGACGCGAAAGCGUGGGGAGCAAACAGG
rnacentral:rRNA from 1 species